GCCUUAAACCCUAAACCCUUAAAACCCCUAAGAAACACUUAACCAUUAAAACCCCUAAAAAUCCCAAAAACCCCUAAACCUAAAAAACUCUAAGCUCUAAACCCUAUAAAGCCCUAAAUCGUAUAUGCUAAACCCUAAAAAACACAAACAAUCCAUAAGCCCUAAACUCUAAACAUAUAAAACCCUAAAAAACCAAAAGGCCUAAAC
rnacentral:lncRNA from 1 species